rnacentral:rRNA from 1 species
AGCAGCCGCGGUAAUUCCAGCUCCAAUAGCGUAUAUUAAAGUUGUUGCAGUUAAAAAGCUCGUAGUUGAAUUUCGGGAUCAAUACGUCGGUCGUGCUUCGGUACGUACUGGCGUAAUUGAUUUCUCCCUUCUGACGAACCAUGAUGUCAUUAACUUGGUGUCAUGGGAAAUCAGGACUGUUACUUUGAAAAAAUUAGAGUGUUUAAAGCAGGCUAACGCUUGAAUACAUUAGCAUGGAAUAAUGAAAUAGGACGAUCGAACCUAUUUUGUUGGUUUCUAGGAUUGACGUAAUGAUUAAUAGGGAUAGUUGGGGGCAUUAGUAUUCAAUUGUCAGAGGUGAAAUUCUUGGAUUUAUUGAAGACUAACUACUGCGAAAGCAUUUGCCAAGGAUGUUUUCAUUAAUCAAGAACGAAAGUUAGGGGAUCGAAGACGAUCAGAUACCGUCGUAGUCUUAACCAUAAACUAUGCCGACUAGGGAUCGGAUGAUGUUAAUUUUUAAUGACUCAUUCGGCGUCCG